rnacentral:rRNA from 1 species
UACGGAGGAUGCAAGCGUUAUCCGGAAUGAUUGGGCGUAAAGCGUCCGCAGGUGGCGAUGUAAGUCUGCUGUUAAAGAGUGGGGCUCAACCUCAUAAGAGCAGUGGAAACUACAUAGCUAGAGUGCGGUAGGGGCAGAGGGAAUUCCUGGUGUAGCGGUGAAAUGCGUAGAGAUCAGGAAGAACACCGGUGGCGAAAGCGCUCUGCUAGGCCGCAACUGACACUGAGGGACGAAAGCUAGGGGAGCGAAUGGG